AUUGAACGCUGGCGGCAUGCUUUACACUUGCAAGUCGAACGGUAACAGGUUAAGCUGACGAGUGGCGAACGGGUGAGUAAUGCAUCGGAACGUGCCCGAUCGUGGGGGAUACCGCAGCGAAAGCUGCGCUAAUACCGCAUACGAUCUGAGGAUGAAAGCGGGGGACCGUAAGGCCUCGCGCGAUCGGAGCGGCCGAUGUCAGAUUAGGUAGUUGGUGGGGUAAAGGCCCACCAAGCCGACGAUCUGUAGCUGGUCUGAGAGGACGACCAGCCACACUGGGACUGAGACACGGCCCAGACUCCUACGGGAGGCAGCAGUGGGGAAUUUUGGACAAUGGGCGAAAGCCUGAUCCAGCAAUGCCGCGUGCAGGAAGAAGGCCUUCGGGUUGUAAACUGCUUUUGUACGGAGCGAAAAGGUCCUUUCUAAUACAAGGGGCUCAUGACGGUACCGUAAGAAUAAGCACCGGCUAACUACGUGCCAGCCGCCGCUGUAA
rnacentral:rRNA from 1 species